GGGCCGUUAGCUCAGUCUGGUAGAGCAGCGGACUUUUAAUCCGUUGGUCGUGGGUUCGAUUCCCGCACGGCCCA
rnacentral:tRNA from 1 species